rnacentral:rRNA from 1 species
UGAGGAAUAUUGCACAAUGGGCGCAAGCCUGAUGCAGCAACGCCGCGUGCGGGACGAAGGCCUUCGGGUCGUAAACCGCUUUUCUGGGGAAAGAGCAAGGACGGUACCUCAGGAAUAAGUCUCGGCUAACUACGUGCCAGCAGCCGCGGUAAAACGUAGGAGGCGAGCGUUAUCCGGAUUUACUGGGCGUAAAGCGCACGCAGGCGGCUCCGUGAGUCGGACGUGAAAGCUCUCGGCUUAACCGGGAGAGGCCGUUCGAUACUGCGGGGCUUGAGGUAGGGAGGGGAAUGCGGAAUUCCCGGUGUAGUGGUGGAAUGCGUAGAUAUCGGGAGGAACACCUGUGGCGAAAGCGGCAUUCUGGCCCUCACCUGACGCUGAGGUGCGAAAGCGUGGGUAGCAAACA